rnacentral:lncRNA from 1 species
UUUUAUUUAUGCAAUGACUUUGUCUCAGGAAAUUUAAACUGUAAAUGAUACCCAAAGCACAAGAUUCGUGGAAACCAUUGAUACAGAAAACAUGACUGGAUUAUAGAUAUUGAAACACAAGCACGAACUUGUCAGAUUUAUGACCGUUUAUUGAAUUUAAAAAGUCGACUAACAUACGCAUUUAUUUAUGCAAGCCCUUUGAUUUUACCCAUGGCUGUCUUCUUAUGUUGAUAAACAGCAAAUGUCCAAAUACACCCAAAAAGACUCAUUAAACAACAACUUUUUUUUUCAUUAUUAAGUUCAUGUUUUACAUGAUAAUUAUAUUUUCAUCUUGCAUAUAAAGUCCAACCUAAUUAUUUUCAACACUCUCUGAGUUUUCAUUUUAUUCUGUACUCAUAAUAAUUGUGUUGCA